rnacentral:rRNA from 1 species
UACAGAGGGUGCGAGCGUUAAUCGGAAUUACUGGGCGUAAAGCGCGCGUAGGCGGCUUUUCAAGUCGAUUGUGAAAUCCCCGGGCUCAACCUGGGAACUGCAGUCGAGACUGUCUAGCUAGAGUAUGGGAGAGGGAAGUGGAAUUUCAGGUGUAGCGGUGAAAUGCGUAGAUAUCUGAAGGAACAUCAGUGGCGAAAGCGACUUCCUGGACCAAUACUGACGCUCAUGUGCGAAAGCGUGGGGGAGCAAAACGGG